rnacentral:tRNA from 1 species
GUCGUUGUAGUAUAGUGGUGAGUAUCCCGCCUGUCACGCGGGAGACCCGGGUUCGAUCCCGCAACGGCG